AAAAUCUACAAGGAAGUCUUCAAUUUCCUAAGCUUUUGAGAGUACCCGUCUGAGUCUAAGAAGAUACAGAGGCAGGCACUCCGUCGUACCGCAUCAAAAUUCACCUUAAAGGAUGGAGAGUUGUUCUUUGGAACCCGAAGAUUUGUGAAAAACGAGGAAGAGGCCUGUAGAAUCUUCGCGGAAUUUCAUGCAUCGCCCAUUGGAGGACAUUCCGGGAUCAACCGAACACGAUCGGAUCUGGCAUGGAAUGCAUGUUGAUAUUGCUAAAUGUAUCCAGGAAUGCCCUCAAUGCCAGAAGUCUGGAAAACCAAUCGCUGCUCCACAGCCGUUACAGUGUAUAAAGGUAUCCGCUGUCUGGGAGCUUGUCGGGAUCGACCUAACUGGUCCUCUUCCUAAGACAGUUGAUGGCUUCCAAUACAUCUUGACGGCUACGGAUUAUUUCUCCAAAUGGGUGGAGGCAUUCCCAUUGAGAACAAAAUCUGCUGCAGAGGUCAGACGCCAUAUCUGCUCCAUGGUAUAUCGACAUGGUUGUCCCAAGAGAAUCCUUUCGGACCAGGGUAGAGAGUUUGUGAACUGAACAGCCAACUGUGUUCCAUUUUGGGUAUCGAAAGAAGUGUUACAGCAGCGUAUCACCCACAGACCAACGGACUGGAUGAAAAGACCAAUCAUAAUAUCAAAAG